UUGCUUCAGCAGCAGACAUGCUAAAAUUGGAAUGACACAGAGAAGAUCAGCAUGGCCCCUGCACAAGGAUGACAAGCAAAUUCAUGAAGUGUUCCAUAGAAAA
ensembl:snRNA U6 U6 spliceosomal RNA